CUGAGGGGCACGUAAGGGUCAAGGUCCUCUGGAUGUCCACAUGCGAUGUCAUAGAAGCAGGACCAUCGGGAAAGCAGGCUGGGUCCAGGCUGGGGCAGAGAUCGGGGCUUGUCAGCAGAUGGCUCUGGAGACUCAGGAGAGGGGCUGACCCGGGAGCUGGAUCCAGGGGUUAGAUCCACACGCAGGAUACCCGUCGAACUUGAACUUCAGGUGAACGGCAGAUGACGUUGAGAUUCACUAUAUGCCCUAAUGCUGCAUGGGCGUACAUAUGCAAAAACUGUGUUUAUCUCAGAUUCAAAUUUAACCGGCCAUCCCACCUUUUAUCUGAGAGGUACUAGGGAGAAGAGUGAGGUGAGAGGACUCCCCAGGACGGGGCGAUGGAGGAAUUCCAGGCAAGUGGCACCAGGGACGGCAAUUCAGCCCUCCGGUUAGGGUCUGGAGGCUCCCCACCGCCAAAUGCCUGAACCCCGGACAGGAUGGGGGGUAGGGUGCUUCGUGGGGUAUUUCCCAGCAUGCAGGACCUCAUCUGGGCACACAGGGCAGGAAUACACAGCACAGGGGUCCCCAAGGUUAUGUUGAUCUAUUACUAAGCACACAAUUAUGUAAAUACUUGUUAUGUAUCAUGCAUCUAUGCAUGUAUAUAUGCAUGUAUCUCAUGCAUUACAUAAAAUUAGGUCUGCUAUGUACUUAUUACAUAAUUUACACUUAAAUUUCCCUGCUGUCUCCUUACUCAGAUGGCCCAUCGCGAGACCUCGAAUCUCACAAGGGGCACUGAGGACGGUGAUGUCCCAGUUUUAUUUUACAAUGUCGAUGUGUGCGCUACCCGGGCAUCAGAUCCCACAGCCGUGUUUGCGUUUUAACUAAAAUACUCCACGGCGAUGGGGAGGAGACGAGGUGGAUGGGCAGGUCAGUAGUUGGAGACACAGCACGAGGGCCCUGGGGGGAGGGGCUCCCCCAGGUUCAGGCCCCGCCCCUGACAGGCAGCACCUGCACUGGGGGCUGGGGGCAGCCCGUCUCCAGGUCCUUUCUGCUGACACACGAGGGGCGGGGGAUGGGCCAGGCCCCCUGCCAGAUGCUCCCCGGACACCUCCUCCAGGAACCCCACAGACACCCACAGGGCAGGCGCUGUCCUCGCUCCCCGCCCACCCGCCUUCCCGGUGGGGAAACCGAGGCCUGGACCUGCCCUGGGCUACACCUGCUGAGCCCGGAGGCCCCUCCCCGACGCGAGGCAGGCAGCCCAGACCCCCUCUGCUCCGCGCUCUCCAACAGCAGCCCCUGGCACUUCCCAAACCAGAUAAAUUAACUGAAUCUUCCAGAGACUCCGCGAACCUGCAUCAUCUCCGCUUUCCUCAUAAACUUUAGCAGCUUCCAUGCAAUUAAUUACCAGGACGAAGCGCAGCAUCAGAAGCCUCUCUGGUCACGAGGCUUCCACUUGCUCCCACACAGUUAACCCGCUUCCUCCCCCACCUUGGAGAGCCUCAGCAUUUGCCUGUCAGCCCCUAAUCACUGCCAGUCUCGCUCAUUAGCAAGCGUCCUUGGGCUGUGCCUGUCCUGCUGCUCCUGGUGAGCUCAGCAGUCACUCAGAGGCCAGCCCAGGGUGACCUGGACAGAAGGGACGGGCAGCCCAGGAUGUGGUGGGACGGCGACCUUGCGGGUGCAUGAAGGCCACUGGUCCGUGAAGGCAAGAUGCGGAAUGAACCCUUUGAAGGCCUUUCCGUCCUGAGAGGCUGCCGCAUGGGCAGGAGGCCGUUCUGAACGCCAAAUGCUGCUGCAUCAGCCAACACACCAUCAUUAUCAAUUAUGGAUGCUUCUAGAAUUAGAAUUUCUCCUGCACGGUUGGGCCCAUCACAUGUACACGGCGGCACAAAGGACCCAGCAAAUCGGAGGCAAUGGGGGGAAAGGACCCACCCUGAGGGGUGCACAGGACAAGCACCUGCCGGACGAGCCCACCCUCACCCCGUCCCUGGGACCUCGACAAUCUGAGCCCCAGGCCCUCCCCGAAGGAUUCCAAAAGAGGAGAUCCAUGUAUUUGUAACCCAGGGGACCCAUUCCAUCAUCAGGACAUGCUCGCUGAGACCCACUGUGUGCUUGUAAACAGGGGACCCAUUCUGUCAUCAGAACGUGGUCACUGAGACUCACUGUGUGCUUGUAACCCAGGGGACACGUUCCAUCAUCGAGACACACUUGUCGAGACCCACUGUGUGCUUUAACCCAGCAGACCUAAUAUGUCAUCAGGACACGCUCAGUGAGACCCACUGUGUGCCUGUAACUCAGGGGACCCAUUCCAUCAUCAGGACAUGCUCGCUGAGACCCACUGUGUGUCUAACCCAGGGGACCCAUUCCGUCAUCAGGACGUGCUCGCUAGACCUACUGUGUGCUUGUAACCCAGGGGACCCAUUCCAUCAUCAGGACACACUUGUUGAGACCCAUUGUGUGCUUGUAACUCAGGGGACCCAUUAUGUCUUCAGGACUCGCUCGCUGAGACCCACUGUGUGCUUGUAACCCAGGGGACCCAUUCCAUCAUCAGGACACACUUGUUGAGACCCACUGUGUGCCUGUAACCCAGAGGACCCAUUCUGUCAUCAGGACAUGCUCACUGAGACCCACUGUGUGCCGUCACUGUGCCAGGCAGGGAGGACGGCAGUGCGCGGGGCAGGACCGUGUCCUGGAGCAGCCGUGUUCCCGGUGGUCGGGAGCACUGGGGUCUCAGGGACUCCUACACUCUGCCUGUCACAGCAGAAUGCAUGUGGGCGCAUCCUCCCGGAUGGGGAAGCCUCGGAGGACGCGGGUCGGGGAGGGAGUCUCGAGUUUGCUUGGAGCCCAGUUUGCCGUCACCGGUCCCGAGGCGGGUUCAGCGGCCGCCAGGGCCUUGGAUGGGGCCGUGUGUCCUCGGGGUGGAAUCGCUCAGGACUCCGGUCACGCACCACGGAGUAACGCGGGGAGAUAGCCCCUUCCGCGUCCCACCACCGGGGGGCUGGCGGUCCCCGCGGGCAGAGCCCACAUGGUGCAGACUUGGACCACACGUGUCGUGAUCCGCGGGGGAGGAGAAGCGUGGCCGGAGCCUGUUUCGGGGAAGGGCGCCGCCCACCUGCCACUCGGGCCCCGGAGGGUCCGCCAGGGGCUGGGCUGCCACUUGCCGACGACGAGCGGGCUUUCUCCAGAGGGCCAGCUCUGGGGCGGGCGCUGGUGCUGGUGCUGGCGCCGGUGCCGGUGCCGGUGCUGGUGGUGUGCCGUUCACCUCCAGGCCCCCAGCUCCCGGGAGAGGCACCUGUUCUCUGGCUCCACUCACUCGCCUGCCACGGACGUGCUUCCUGGGAAAGGCCAGCUUCCGCAAACACCCGGACUGUGAGUGGGUCUGCCCACCUGCUGACGGGGACACGCUGAACGUGCAAGAACACAGUCAGUGUGGCCUCAGGCGUGGAAGGAGGAAACAGAAACACGUCUCUCUCCCUCUUUCUGCAAUCGCUGGAUUUGAACGCCAGUGCAUCUCUUCUCUGAGGACAGCUCGGAGAAUAAGCGCUGGAGGAAAUUUCCUUUAAUUUUGCUUGAAUCUUGGGGAAUUUGGUGGCUGGCUUGGAGCUCCACACUAAAUUACCCGAAGGGGCUUCUUCUGGACCUACUGUCUACACAGAAAUCACAAAGCACUUGCGUCCCCACCCCUGGUGUGAAUUAGCUCAGCCCGCAGCUCAGACAGCAGCACCGGCCACGGGAUUUCCCUGUGGCUUCUCCCUGGAGACCUGGCGGGGACACCGCAGUCCGCAGAGCACAGGCCCAGGCCCACGGUGUGCCGGGCAAGUGGAGCAGGCCAGCCGCCGUCCUAUCUGAACAGACUCUUCCUGUAGGGGUCCUGGGCUAUUUGUCCCUUAGAUGUGAGCCUCACCAGCCCUGCGCAGUCACCGUGGACAGUGACUCAGCGUGGGAGGGAGGCCCAGCAGGGAGAGGGGGAAGGGAGUCCCAGAGGACACUGGAGCCCCAGGGACGCUGGGCUAAGCCGAAGGGUCCAGUCAGGGGAGGGAGAUCCACCAGGGGACAGAGAAGGACGAGGGCACCCGGCUGGGAGGGGACAGGACAGAGGGCUCUAGGAUGCACGAUGUCUAGAGAGGAGACCUGGUGGACAGUGUGAGGUCCCUGGGAAGUCCCUCCUGAUGGCACCUGGUUAGUUUCUCAGAGAAGGAAGGCUCCCCGCUCUCGCCAGUGAGGGCUCUGGCUUCCCUGGGAGGAUCUGCUGGUUUCUGGCCUCGGGAGCUCCAGACACCCCGAAUUUGCUGUCCCCUGUUCCCCUGUCUCCCCACCCCCUUUGCUUCAUCAGCUUGGGUUAACGCCUAUCACCGUCUCCUUGCGUCUUUCUAGCGGGUGUUCAGGACCCGGGAGGUGGGCUCAGCCGGCAUCUGGGGCCGGAACUUCUGACUCCUGGGAGACCUGGGGGUGUAGACCCUCACGGUCCACACCCGGGUAUCAGGCGUGAGUGGGGGCGGCUGACGACCGGCUGCUGGUGCUCCUCAGCCUCGGGUCUGCAUGUGAGUCACCGGGAUCCUUCCGCAGUGAGUGCUGAUCCAGCAGGGCUAGGGGCCGGCCCCAGGCUGUGUGUUCCCGCGAGCCCCCGGCAAGGCUGAUGCCGCAUCCGUGGACCACACCGGGUACCAAGGACCUGAGGGAUGGCACCCAGGCCCACGGAGGACAGACGCAAUCAGGCCUGAGGAUCAGGCUGCAGGUGGCCGCAUGUGCUGGGCAGGGCAGGUGUUUCUAACAGGCCUCACGCAGGUGUCCCUCAGGUGUCCGUGUCUCCCUAACCAGCCUCAUGCAGGUGUCUCCCAGGUGUCCGUGGCUCCCUCACCUGCAGGAGCCGCUGUCCUAGCUUCCUCUCUGCGUGCGUGAGGGCCACGUCGCUGGGCAGAGGACCCUCAGCCCAGUGCCCAGGACCUGUCCCCUCUCCCCGCCCUGUCCUUUCCGGGGGGCCUCAGCCACACCUGCAGCUAUGGUCAGCAUCCCGAUGACCCCACUGUCAUCCGAGCCCCAUCAUGCAUGGAUCGGCUAAAGCCAGCAGGAAGCACGCCCGGCAGCCUCUGGCUGGAGGUCAGAGAGGAGUACCGGAGAGUGGGUGGGGAGCCACCCCCGUGGAGUCCAGCUUGUGAAUCAGCAGGUCUCGCCACAGUGUGACUUUCUGGAGUCCGUCAACAUGUUGGGACAUUGGCGACCCUGGACCCGCCUUCCCGUGUGGUAAUCAGCAGCUGGAGGCCACAGCAGCCGCCCCUUGGGAAGCCACAUGGUCUCCCGCCCCACAGCCCACGGGAGGACUCCCUGGCACAU